rnacentral:rRNA from 1 species
UGGGGAAUAUUGCACAAUGGGCGCAAGCCUGAUGCAGCCAUGCCGCGUGUAUGAAGAAGGCCUUCGGGUUGUAAAGCACUUUCAGCGGGGAGGAAGGCGAUAAGGUUAAUAACCUCAUCGAUUGACGUUACCCGCAGAAGAAGCACCGGCUAACUCCGUGCCAGCAGCCGCGGUAAUACGGAGGGUGCAAGCGUUAAUCGGAAUUACUGGGCGUAAAGCGCACGCAGGCGGUCUGUCAAGUCGGAUGUGAAAUCCCCGGGCUUAACCCGGGAAUUGCAUCUGAUACUGGUCAGCUAGAGUCUUGUAGAGGGGGGUAGAAUUCCAUGUGUAGCGGUGAAAUGCGUAGAGAUGUGGAGGAAUACCGGUGGCGAAGGCGGCCCCCUGGACAAAGACUGACGCUCAGGUGCGAAAGCGUGGGGAGCAAACAGG